rnacentral:rRNA from 1 species
GGAUUAGAUACCCUGGUAGUCCACGCCGUAAACGAUGUCUACUAGCCGUUGGGGUCCUUGAGACUUUAGUGGCGCGGCUAACGCGAUAAGUAGACCGCCUGGGGAGUACGGCCGCAAGGUUAAAACUCAAAUGAAUUGACGGGGGCCCGCACAAGCGGUGGAGCAUGUGGUUUAAUUCGAAGCAACGCGAAGAACCUUACCAACUCUUGACAUCCAGAGAACUUAGCAGAGAUGCUUUGGUGCCUUCGGGAACUCUGAGACAGGUGCUGCAUGGCUGUCGUCAGCUCGUGCUG